ACGAGCGGCGGACGGGUGAGUAAUGUCUGGGAAACUGCCUGAUGGAGGGGGAUAACUACUGGAAACGGUAGCUAAUACCGCAUAACGUCGCAAGACCAAAGAGGGGGACCUUCGGGCCUCUUGCCAUCAGAUGUGCCCAGAUGGGAUUAGCUAGUAGGUGGGGUAACGGCUCACCUAGGCGACGAUCCCUAGCUGGUCUGAGAGGAUGACCAGCCACACUGGAACUGAGACACGGUCCAGACUCCUACGGGAGGCAGCAGUGGGGAAUAUUGCACAAUGGGCGCAAGCCUGAUGCAGCCAUGCCGCGUGUAUGAAGAAGGCCUUCGGGUUGUAAAGUACUUUCAGCGGGGAGGAAGGUGUUNAGGUUAAUAACCUNGUCUAUUGACGUUACCCGCANAAGAAGCACCGGCUAACUCCGUGCCAGCAGCCGCGGUAAUACGGAGGGUGCAAGCGUUAAUCGGAAUUACUGGGCGUAAAGCGCACGCAGGCGGUCUGUCAAGUCGGAUGUGAAAUCCCCGGGCUCAACCUGGGAACUGCAUUCGAAACUGGCAGGCUAGANUCUUGUAGAGGGGGGUAGAAUUCCAGGUGUAGCGGUGAAAUGCGUAGAGAUCUGGAGGAAUACCGGUGGCNNAAGGCGGCCCCCUGGACAAAAG
rnacentral:rRNA from 1 species